GACCUUAGGAUCACAGCGUUUCACACAAGGAGCAUCUUACAGUCCACCGCUCUACCAACUGAGCUAUCAAGGUGCUCUCUAGUCACAAGUGCAGAAAACAUAGUGGCUUCGAAGACACACUAUGCCCACAGAAAUAUUCCAACCCAUGGUCAAUGAAAAGCCCAGCCCUACCUGCAGAACAAAGCUUUGCAGUUUGUGCCCAACAGUCAUUGCCAGGGACCCAGAACUGAUAAUCAGGACUUUUAGGCUGGGUGAAUAAAAAAUUGAUGGUUGAAAAUUUAAGAAAGAGUUAUCUUAUUUGUGUUUUGACAUUUUGGAGGAGUUGACAGAUAAAGACAAGGCUUUGGGGUAUUUCCAAUGACAAGGAGGUGCUUGGAGCUGGAGUUGAACCAGCGACCUUAGGAUCACAGCGUUUCACACAAGGAGCAUCUUACAGUCCACCGCUCUACCAACUGAGCUAUCAAGGUGCUCUCUAGUCACAAGUGCAGAAAACAUAGUGGCUUCGUAGACACACUAUGCCCACAGAACUAUUCCAACCCAUGGUCAAUGAAAAGCCCAGCCCUACCUGCAGAACAAAGCUUUGCAGUUUGUACCCAACAGUCAUUGCCAGGGACCCAGAACUGAUAAUCAGGACUUUUAGGCUGGGUGAAUAAAAAAUUGAUGGUUGAAAAUUUAAGAAAGAGUUAUCUUCUUUGUGUUUUGACAUUUUGGAGGAGUUGACAGAUAAAGACAAGGCUUGGGGGUAUUUCCAAUGACAAGGAGCUGCUUGGAGCUGGAGUUGAACCAGCGACCUUAGGAUCACAGCGUUUCACACAAGGAGCAUCUUACAGUCCACCGCUCUACCAACUGAGCUAUCAAGGUGCUCUCUAGUCACAAGUGCAGAAAACAUAGUGGCUUCGUAGACACACUAUGCCCACAGAACUAUUCCAACCCAUGGUCAAUGAAAAGCCCAGCCCUACCUGCAGAACAAAGCUUUGCAGUUUGUACCCAACAGUCAUUGCCAGGGACCCAGAACUGAUAAUCAGGACUUUUAGGCUGGGUGAAUAAAAAAUUGAUGGUUGAAAAUUUAAGAAAGAGUUAUCUUCUUUGUGUUUUGACAUUUUGGAGGAGUUGACAGAUAAAGACAAGGCUUGGGGGUAUUUCCAAUGACAAGGAGGUGCUUGGAGCUGGAGUUGAACCAGCGACCUUAGGAUCACGGCGUUUCACACAAGGAGCAUCUUACAGUCCACCGCUCUACCAACUGAGCUAUCAAGGUGCUCUGUAGUCACAAGUGCAGAAAACAUAGUGGCCUCGAAGACACACUAUGCCCACAGAACUAUUCCAACCCAUGGUCAAUGAAAAGCCCAGCCCUACCUGCAGAACAAAGCUUUGCAGUUUGUACCCAACAGUCAUUGCCAGGGACCCAGAACUGAUAAUCAGGACUUUUAGGCUGGGUGAAUAAAACAUUGAUGGUUGAAAAUUUAAGAAAGAGUUAUCUUCUUUGUGUUUUGACAUUUUGGAGGAGUUGACAGAUAAAGACAAGGCUUGGGGGUAUUUCCAAUGACAAGGAGGUGCUUGGAGCUGGAGUUGAACCAGCCACCUUAGGAUCACAGCGUUUCACACAAGGAGCAUCUUACAGUCCACCGCUCUACCAACUGAGCUAUCAAGGUGCUCUCUAGUCACAAGUGCAGAAAACAUAGUGGCUUCGAAGACACACUAUGCCCACAGAACUAUUCCAACCCAUGGUCAAUGAAAAGCCCAGCCCUACCUGCAGAACAAAGCUUUGCAGUUUGUACCCAACAGUCAUUGCCAGGGACCCAGAACUGAUAAUCAGGACUUUUAGGCUGGGUGAAUAAAACAUUGAUGGUUGAAAAUUUAAGAAAGAGUUAUCUUCUUUGUGUUUUGACAUUUUGGAGGAGUUGACAGAUAAAGACAAGGCUUGGGGUAUUUCCAAUGACAAGGAGGUGCUUGGAGCUGGAGUUGAACCAGCCACCUUAGGAUCACAGCGUUUCACACAAGGAGCAUCUUACAGUCCACCGCUCUACCAACUGAGCUAUCAAGGUGCUCUCUAGUCACAAGUGCAGAAAACAUAGUGGCUUCGAAGACACACUAUGCCCACAGCACUAUUCCAACCCAUGGUCAAUGAAAAGCCCAGCCCUACCUGCAGAACAAAGCUUUGCAGUUUGUACCCAACAGUCAUUGCCAGGGACCCAGAACUGAUAAUCAGGACUUUUAGGCUGGGUGAAUAAAAAAUUGAUGGUUGAAAAUUUAAGAUAGAGUUAUCUUGUUUGUGUUUUGACAUUUUGGAGGAGUUGACAGAUAAAGACAAGGCUUGGGGGUAUUUCCAAUGACAAGGAGGUGCUUGGAGCUGGAGUUGAACCAGCCACCUUAGGAUCACAGCGUUUCACACAAGGAGCAUCUUACAGUCCACCGCUCUACCAACUGAGCUAUCAAGGUGCUCUCUAGUCACAAGUGCAGAAAACAUAGUGGCUUCGUAGACACACUAUGCCCACAGAACUAUUCCAACCCAUGGUCAAUGAAAAGCCCAGCCCUACCUGCAGAACAAAGCUUUGCAGUUUGUACCCAACAGUCAUUGCCAGGGACCCAGAACUGAUAAUCAGGACUUUUAGGCUGGGUGAAUAAAAAAUUGAUGGUUGAAAAUUUAAGAAAGAGUUAUCUUCUUUGUGUUUUGACAUUUUGGAGGAGUUGAAAGAUAAAGACAAGGCUUGGGGGUAUUUCCAAUGACAAGGAGGUGCUUGGAGCUGGAGUUGAACCAGAGACCUUAGGAUCACAGCGUUUCACACAAGGAGCAUCUUACAGUCCACCGCUCUACAAACUGAGCUAUCAAGGUGCUCUCUAGUCACAAGUGCAGAAAACAUAGUGGCUUCGAAGACACACUAUGCCCACAGAACUAUUCCAACCCAUGGUCAAUGAAAAGCCCAGCCCUACCUGAAGAACAAAGCUUUGCAGUUUGUACCCAACAGUCAUUGCCAGGGACCCAGAACUGAUAAUCAGGACUUUUAGGCUGGGUGAAUAAAAAAUUGAUGGUUGAAAAUUUAAGAAAGAGUUAUCUUCUUUGUGUUUUGACAUUUUGGAGGAGUUGACAGAUAAAGACAAGGCUUGGGGGUAUUUCCAAUUACAAGGAGCUGCUUGGAGCUGGAGUUGAACCAGCGACCUUAGGAUCACGGCGUUUGACACAAGGAGCAUCUUACAGUCCACCGCUCUACCAACUGAGCUAUCAAGGUGCUCUCUAGUCACAAGUGCAGAAAACAUAGUGGCUUCGAAGACACACUAUGCCCACAGAACUAUUCCAACCCAUGGUCAAUGAAAAGCCCAGCCCUACCUGCAGAACAAAGAUUUGCAGUUUGUACCCAACAGUCAUUGCCAGGGACCCAGAACUGAUAAUCAGGACUUUUAGGCUGGGUGAAUAAAAAAUUGAUGGUUGAAAAUUUAAGAAAGAGUUAUCUUGUUUGUGUUUUGACAUUUUGGAGGAGUUGACAGAUAAAGACAAGGCUUGGGGGUAUUUCCAAUGACAAGGAGGUGCUUGGAGCUGGAGUUGAACCAGCGACCUUAGGAUCACUGCGUUUCACACAAGGAGCAUCUUACAGUCCACCGCUCUAACGACUGAGCUAUCAAGGUGCUCUCUAGUCACAAGUGCAGAAAACAUAGUGGCUUCGAAGACACACUAUGCCCACAGAACUAUUCCAACCCAUGGUCAAUGAAAAGCCCAGCCCUACCUGCAGAACAAAGCUUUGCAGUUUGUACCCAACAGUCAUUGCCAGGGACCCAGAACUGAUAAUCAGGACUUUUAGGCUGGGUGAAUAAAAAAUUGAUGGUUGAAAAUUUAAGAAAGAGUUAUCUUCUUUGUGUUUUGACAUUUUGGAGGAGUUGACAGAUAAAGACAAGGCUUGGGGGUAUUUCCAAUGACAAGGAGCUGCUUGGAGAUGGAGUUGAACCAGCCACCUUAGGAUCACGGCGUUUGACACAAGGAGCAUCUUACAGUCCACCGCUCUACCAACUGAGCUAUCAAGGUGCUCUCUAGUCACAAGUGCAGAAAACAUAGUGGCUUCGAAGACACACUAUACCCACAGAACUAUUCCAACCCAUGGUCAAUGAAAAGCCCAGCCCUACCUGCAGAACAAAGCUUUGCAGUUUGUACCCAACAGUCAUUGCCAGGGACCCAGAACUGAUAAUCAGGACUUUUAGGCUGGGUGAAUAAAAAAUUGAUGGUUGAAAAUUUAAGAAAGAGUUAUCUUCUUUGUGUUUUGACAUUUUGGAGGAGUUGACAGAUAAAGACAAGGCUUGGGGGUAUUUCCAAUGACAAGGAGGUGCUUGGAGCUGGAGUUGAACCAGCGAACUUAGGAUCACAGCGUUUCACACAAGGAGCAUCUUACAGUGCACCGCUCUACCAACUGAGCUAUCAAAGUGCUCUCUAGUCACAAGUGCAGAAAACAUAGUGGCUUCGAAGACACACUAUGCCCACAGCACUAUUCCAACCCAUGGUCAAUGAAAAGCCCAGCCCUACCUGCAGAACAAAGCUUUGCAGUUUGUACCCAACAGUCAUUGCCAGGGACCCAGAACUGAUAAUCAGGACUUUUAGGCUGGGUGAAUAAAAAAUUGAUGGUUGAAAAUUUAAGAUAGAGUUAUCUUGUUUGUGUUUUGACAUUUUGGAGGAGUUGACAGAUAAAGACAAGGCUUGGGGGUAUUUCCAAUGACAAGGAGGUGCUUGGAGCUGGAGUUGAACCAGCGACCUUAGGAUCACAGCGUUUCACACAAGGAGCAUCUUACAGUCCACCGCUCUACCAACUGAGCUAUCAAGGUGCUCUCUAGUCACAAGUGCAGAAAACUUAGUGGCUUCGAAGACACACUAUGCCCACAGAAAUAUUCCAACCCAUGGUCAAUGAAAAGCCCAGCCCUACCUGCAGAACAAAGCUUUGCAGUUUGUGCCCAACAGUCAUUGCCAGGGACCCAGAACUGAUAAUCAGGACUUUUAGGCUGGGUGAAUAAAAAAUUGAUGGUUGAAAAUUUAAGAAAGAGUUAUCUUAUUUGUGUUUUGACAUUUUGGAGGAGUUGACAGAUAAAGACAAGGCUUUGGGGUAUUUCCAAUGACAAGGAGGUGCUUGGAGCUGGAGUUGAACCAGCGACCUUAGGAUCACAGCGUUUCACACAAGGAGCAUCUUACAGUCCACCGCUCUACCAACUGAGCUAUCAAGGUGCUCUCUAGUCACAAGUGCAGAAAACAUAGUGGCUUCGUAGACACACUAUGCC